GUGAGUAACGCGUGAAUUACAUGCCCUUCAGUGGGGAAUAGCCCAGGGAAACUUGGAUUAAUACCUCAUGGUCUCGCAAGAGUAAAGGCGGCGCAAGCUGCCGCUGAAGGAUUGGUUCGCGCCCUAUCAGCUUGUUGGUGAGGUAACGGCUCACCAAGGCUACGACGGGUAACCGGUCUGAGAGGACGAUCGGUCACACUGGAACUGAGACACGGUCCAGACACCUACGGGUGGCAGCAGUCGAGAAUAAUUCACAAUGGGGGAAACCCUGAUGGUGCAACGCCGCGUGGAGGAUGAAGGUCUUCGGAUUGUAAACUCCUGUCAUCUGGGAGUAAGACCUGGCGGUAAAUAGCCGACAGGGUUGAUAGUACCGGAAGAGGAAGGGACGGCUAACUUCGUGCCAGCAGCCGCGGUAAUACGAAGGUCCCAAGCGUUGUUCGGAAUCACUGGGCGUAAAGGGUGCGUAGGCGGUUUGGUAAGUCAGAUGUGAAAUCCCGGGGCUCAACCCCGGAACUGCAUCCGAUACUGCCAGACUAGAGGACUGGAGAGGUGACUGGAAUUCUCGGUGUAGCAGUGAAAUGCGUAGAGAUCGAGAGGAACACUCGUGGCGAAGGCGAGUCACUGGACAGUAUCUGACGCUGAGGCACGAAGGCCAGGGUAGC
rnacentral:rRNA from 1 species